rnacentral:rRNA from 1 species
GACGAACGCUGGCGGCGUGCCUAACACAUGCAAGUCGAGCGAGUGAAUCUCCUUCGGGAGUGAAGCUAGCGGCGGACGGGUGAGUAACACGUGGGCAACCUGCCUCAUAGAGGGGAAUAGCCUUCCGAAAGGAAGAUUAAUACCGCAUAAGAUUGCAGCUUCGCAUGAAGUAGCAAUUAAAGGAGCAAUCCGCUAUGAGAUGGGCCCGCGGCGCAUUAGCUAGUUGGUGAGGUAACGGCUCACCAAGGCGACGAUGCGUAGCCGACCUGAGAGGGUGAUCGGCCACAUUGGGACUGAGACACGGCCCAGACUCCUACGGGAGGCAGCAGUGGGGAAUAUUGCACAAUGGGGGAAACCCUGAUGCAGCAACGCCGCGUGAGUGAUGACGGCCUUCGGGUUGUAAGGCUCUGUCUUCAGGGACGAUAAUGACGGUACCUGAGGAGGAAGCCACGGCUAACUACGUGCCAGCCGCCGCCGUAAUAC